AAAUGAAUUGACGGGGGCCCGCACAAGCGGUGGAGCAUGUGGUUUAAUUCGAUGCAACGCGAAGAACCUUACCGGGAUUUGACAUCCUGCGAAGCCUGUAGAGACACAGGUGUGCCCUGGGGAGACUCAGGGAGCGCAGAGACAGGUGGUGCAUGGUUGUCGUCAGCUCGUGUCGUGAGAUGUUGGGUUAAGUCCCGCAACGAGCGCAACCCUUGCUGUUAGUUGCUAACGGGUCAAGCCGAGCACUCUAGCAGGACCGCCGGUGACAAGUCGGAGGAAGGUGGGGAUGACGUCAAAUCAUCAUGCCCUUUAUAUCCCGGGCUACACACGUGCUACAAUGGCUGGUACAGAGAGGAGCGAAGUCGCGAGGUGGAGCAAAUCUCACAAAGCCAGUCUCAGUUCGGAUUGCAGGCUGCAACUCGCCUGCAUGAAGGCGGAAUCGCUAGUAAUCGCGAAUCAGAAUGUCGCGGUGAAUGCGUUCCCGGGCCUUGUACACACCGCCCGU
rnacentral:rRNA from 1 species